AAAGUCGUAACAAGGUUUCCGUAGGUGAACCUGCGGAAGGAUCAUUAGUGAAAUGUUAGGACGCUCUUUUUAGAGGUCCGACCAACUUCAUUUUACCUUUCACACUGUGCACAUCACUACUUUUUUUACACCCAUUUUUAAACACUUAUAAAAGUCAUAAGAAUGUAAAACAAGUCUCUUAACUGAGCAUAAACAUAAACAAAACUUUCAGCAACGGAUCUCUUGGCUCUCC
rnacentral:misc_RNA from 1 species